rnacentral:rRNA from 1 species
UCCCCGAGCUUAACUUGGGAAUUGCAUUGGUGACUGCACGGCUAGAGUGUGUCAGAGGGGGGUAGAAUUCCACGUGUAGCAGUGAAAUGCGUAGAGAUGUGGAGGAAUACCGAUGGCGAAGGCAGCCCCCUGGGAUAACACUGACGCUCAUGCACGAAAGCGUGGGGAGCAAACAGGAUUAGAUACCCUGGUAGUCCACGCCCUAAACGAUGUCAACUAGUUGUUGGGGAUUCAUUUCCUUAGUAACGUAGCUAACGCGUGAAGUUGACCGCCUGGGGAGUACGGUCGCAAGAUUAAAACUCAAAGGAAUUGACGGGGACCCGCACAAGCGGUGGAUGAUGUGGAUUAAUUCGAUGCAACGCGAAAAACCUUACCUACCCUUGACAUGCCACUAACGAAGCAGAGAUGCAUUAGGUGCUCGAAAGAGAAAGUGGACACAGGUGCUGCAUGGCUGUCGUCAGCUUGUGUCGUGAGAUGUUGGGUUAAGUCCCGCAACGAGCGCAACCCUUGUCUCUAGUUGCUACGAAAGGGCACUCUAGAGAGACUGCCGGUGACAAACCGGAGGAAGGUGGGGAUGACGUCAAGUCCUCAUGGCCCUUAUGGGUAGGGCUUCACACGUCAUACAAUGGUGCAUACAGAGGGUUGCCAAGCCGCGAGGUGGAGCUAAUCCCAGAAAAUGCAUCGUAGUCCGGAUCGUAGUCUGCAAC